AUUGAACGCUGGCGGCAUGCCUUACACAUGCAAGUCGAACGGCAGCACGGGUGCUUGCACCUGGUGGCGAGUGGCGAACGGGUGAGUAAUAUAUCGGAACGUACCUUAUCGUGGGGGAUAACGCAGCGAAAGCUGUGCUAAUACCGCAUAAGCCCUAAGGGGGAAGGCAGGGGACCGUAAGGCCUUGCGCGAUUAGAGCGGCCGAUACCUGAUUAGCUAGUUGGUGAGGUAAAGGCUCACAAAGGCAACGAUCAGUAGCUGGUCUGAGAGGACGAUCAGCCACACUGGGACGGAGACACGGCCCAGACUCCUACGGGAGGCAGCAGUGGGGAAUUUUGGACAAUGGGGGCAACCCUGAUCCAGCAAUGCCGCGUGAGCGAAGAAGGCCUUCGGGUUGUAAAGCUCUUUUGUCAGGGAAGAAGCAGCAGCUCUAAUACAGUAUGCGAAUGACGGUACCUGAAGAAUAAGCACCGGCUAACUACGUGCCAGCCGCCGCCGUAAGAC
rnacentral:rRNA from 1 species